rnacentral:rRNA from 1 species
UCAGAAUGAACGCUGGCGGCGUGCGUAACACAUGCAAGUCGAACGAGAAAUUCCGGGCUUGCUCGGGAGAGUAAAGUGGCGAACGGGUGAGUAACGCGUGGGUAACCUGCCCCUGAAUCUGGAAUAACUUCGCGAAAGCGAGGCUAAUACCGGAUAUUGUCCCAGGGACUAUGGUCCUUGUGAUGAAAGAUGACCUCUUCACGAAAGUUGUCGUUCAGGGAGGGGCCCGCGUACCAUUAGCUAGUUGGUAGGGUAAUGGCCUACCAAGGCGAUGAUGGUUAGCUGGUCUGAGAGGAUGACCAGCCACACUGGCACUGAAACACGGGCCAGACUCCUACGGGAGGCAGCAGUGAGGAAUUUUGCGCAAUAGGGGAAACCCUGACGCAGCAACGCCGCGUGAGCGAAGAAGGCCCUCGGGUCGUAAAGCUCUGUCAAGUGGGAAAAAAGCUUACUGGUGAAUAGCCAGGAAGACUGAUGGUACCAUUGAAGGAAGCACCGGCUAACUCCGUGCCAGCAGCCGCGGUAA